rnacentral:misc_RNA from 1 species
UCUCCGUUGGUGAACCAGCGGAGGGAUCAUUACCGAGUUUACAACUCCCAAACCCCUAUGUGAACGUUACCAAACUGUUGCCUCGGCGGGAAAUUCAUGCCCCGGGCGCGUCGCAGCCCCGGACCAAGGCGCCCGCCGGAGGACCAACCAAAACUCUUUUGUAUGUCCCUCGCGGACUUUUAUAAUUCUGAACCAUCUCGGCGCCCCUAGCGGGCGUUUCGAGAAUGAAUCAAAACUUUCAACAACGGAUCUCUUGGUUCUG